CGGACGGGUGAGUAAUGCUUGGGAAUCUAGCUUAUGGAGGGGGAUAACUACGGGAAACUGUAGCUAAUACCGCGUAAUAUCGAAAGAUUAAAGUGUGGGACCUUCGGGCCACAUGCCAUAGGAUGAGCCCAAGUGGGAUUAGGUAGUUGGUGAGGUAAAGGCUCACCAAGCCGACGAUCUCUAGCUGGUCUGAGAGGAUGACCAGCCACACUGGGACUGAGACACGGCCCA
rnacentral:rRNA from 1 species